GUGUGCGUUUUAAGUCUCUACACUGUAUUUAAACCUAAGCGGUCAGCAUGCGAGUCAUGGAAACUUAAUACCCAAUCAUUACUAAAAAUAUUAACCCAGACGAAGGCAUUACUAUAUAGCCCGGGAACUAUACUUGUUAUGGGAUAUAUGGUGGGAUAGGGCGGUUACAAACUAUCUCUCAGAUGACCUUCCAGAAUAGAAUAAGCUUGGAAAUGAUUUUAGCAGAAAAAGGGAGAGUAUGUAAAAUACUCCCAGACACCAUGACAUGCUGUACCUAUAUUCCAGAUAAUACAGGCCCUAAUGGUAAGGUAACGUUGGCAAUAGAAAAGUUAAAGAGUUUGUCCAAUGAACUGAAACGAAAUUCUGGGGCCACAGAUCCAUGGGAAAGAUGGUUUGGAUGGAUGUCUGAAUGGCAAGGUGCUCUGGCCCAAAUAGGUGUUGCCAUUUUAAUAACGAUAAUCAUCCUCGCUCUUCUUGUUUGUUGUGUGUUACCCUGUCUUAAGAAAUGCCUACAAAGGACAGUUGAUCAGACAAUCGACCAGACCACCCCGACCUUCCUUCACCAAGAGAUUGACGACAUCGACCUUGAUACACCACAUACACCCUUACAGUCCCACCGCACUAAAUCAACAGCUACUUCCUCUUAAGGACAUUUAGGGAUAGCGUCUGUCUCUACGGGCAGAAGUCUGCCGCGGGAGAAGUAGUGGACAAGCUGCUAUGGGGUACCCGCGCAGUGAAGUGUUCGAGGCCUGUUCAGACAGAUGUGCAAGAUAGCCUUUUGUUAUUUUUCUAUAGGGACAGUAUUAGAAUGAGAGAUAGUAGUUUUAGUAAAAAUUGCCAUUUUAAGGGGGGACUGUUAUGGACAGAUGAAUUAAAAUAAAAUGGCUAUUUACUAAUGUCUAUUUAUUCUCUGUUCACUAUGUUAAAACUGGCUUCUAGAGUAAAUAUUCCCUUCCCCCCCUACAAUGUGGUCAGCUGCUGUUUACUAUGUAAAUUCCUCACAUCCUGCUAGCCUCCCCUCCCCCACUACCUUUGUGCCAGUUAACAGCUAUAUGCCAUAUAUAGCUAAAUGGAGGAUCAUUGGUUUAGAACUGAUAGAUACCACUCACUCCCCCUCCCAUCGUGUAUCCAAAAGUGUGUAAUGAUGACACUACAUUCUGUAGGGGGGUUUAAACAAGAGCCCCCUUUCUCUGUUAACCAAUUGGUGAAUGUAUACUGUAUGUUUAAACUGUG